rnacentral:rRNA from 1 species
GCAUAUCAUAGCGGAGGGAAAAGAAACCCAACAGGGAUUACCUUAGUAACGGCGAGUGAAGCGGUAAGAGCUCAAAUUUGAAAUCUGGCGCUUUAAAACGUGUCCGAGUUGUAAUUUGAAGAUGGUAACUUUGGCUUUGGCCCUUGCCUAUGUUCCUUGGAACAGGACGUCACAGAGGGUGAGAAUCCCGUGCGGCGAGGUGAUCCAUUGCUUUGUAAAGUGCUAUCGAAGAGUCGAGUUGUUUGGGAAUGCAGCUCUAAGUGGGUGGUAAAUUCCAUCUAAAGCUAAAUAUUGACGAGAGACCGAUAGCGAACAAGUACAGUGAUGGAAAGAUGAAAAGAACUUUGAAAAGAGAGUGAAAUAGUACGUGAAAUUGUUGAAAGGGAAGGGCAUUAGAUCAGACUUUGAAUUUAGUGAUCAACUUGCCUUUUUGGCUGGUGCACUCGCUACUUUCUAGGUCAACAUCAGUUUGAAUGGCAGGAUAAUGGUGAAGGAAUGUGGCUCUCCUCUUUGAGGCGAGUGUUAUAGCCUUUACUGAUACUGCCUGUUUGGACUGAGGAACGCGGUUUAUACCAAGGAUGUUGACAUAAUGAUCUUAUGCCGCCCGUCUUGAAACACGGACCAAGGAGUCUAACGUUUAUGCAAGUGUUUGGGUGUCAAACCCGUACGCGAAAUGAAAGUGAACGCAGAUAAGAGCCUCUUGUAGGUGCAUUAUCGACCGAUCCAGAAGUUUUCUGAAGGAUUUGAGUAAGAGCAUAACUGUUGGGACCCGAAAGAUGGUGAACUAUGCCUGAAUAGGGUGAAGUCAGAGGAAACUCUGAUGGGAAGCUCGUAGCGGUUCUGACGUGCAAAUCGAUCGUCGAAUUUGGGUAUAGGGGGCGAAAGACUAAUCGGAAACCAUCUAAGUAGCUGGGUUCCUGCGAA